rnacentral:rRNA from 1 species
UACAGAGGCCUCAAGCGUUGUUCGGAUUCAUUGGGCGUAAAGGGUGCGUAGGCGGCGCGGUAAGUCGGGUGUGAAAUCUUGGAGCUUAACUCCGAAACUGCAUUCGAUACUGCCAGUGCUUGAGGACUGGAGAGGAGACUGGAAUUUACGGUGUAGCAGUGAAAUGCGUAGAUAUCGUGAGGAAGACCAGUGGCGAAGGCGGAUCUCUGGACAGUUCCUGACGCUGAGGCGCGAAGGCCAGGGGAGCAAACGGG